CAAGUAAGACAAAUGAUCGCGGCUGCAAGUGUCGAAAGACCGCAGGUGAGGAAAGUCCGGGCUUCACAGGGCAGGAUGCCGGAUAACAUCCGGUGGAGGCGACUCCAAGGACAGUGCAACAGAAAUGUACCGCGUUAGCAAUGAGCCAUGCGCAGACACGUUUUCAGCAGAUUUUUGAGUAAGCUGGCUUACAGAGAAAAUUUGAUGAGAAAAACAGGAUUCUGUGUAUCGCUCAUUGUUAACGUAAGGGUGGAAGGGCAGUGUAAGAGACUACCGCCCGGCUGGUAACAGCCGGGGCACAUGUAAACCCCAUCCGAAGCAAGACCGAAACAAAGCGUUGACGUGGCCCGCCAGCUUUAGGUAGGUCGCUUGAGGUAACUGGCAACAGUUAUCCUGGAUAGAUGAUCAUUCACGACAUAACCCGGCUUAUCGUUUUGCUUGAAUU
rnacentral:RNase_P_RNA from 1 species